rnacentral:lncRNA from 1 species
CGGAUUACCAGGUCUCCCGAAGCAGGGUCCAGGAGGUCUAAUACCUGGGUCUCACCUUACCUCCCUGCUACAGCAGAGCUUCAUGUUCUAGAACCAGGUCUUACUUUGACCCUUUGUUGCUCCUCUCCCAACCAGCACGGGGCCUCACCUUCUCCUGGUAGAUCUCUAGCUCCUGUGGGUCCAUAGGCAAGCACACUGGCAUUCUGCCCUUCCAGCAAGUGCCUUAGGAUGGGCUGCACUGAACCUGCAUAGAUGUCCUGCUGAGUACUCCUCUCCCCAUAGAAGGCAUCAAACCUGCGAAUUGGCAACUGAAUUAUUUUUAUCAUCAGAAAACACAAUGAAGAUAAAA